UAAUACGAAGGGGGCUAGCGUUGUUCGGAAUUACUGGGCGUAAAGCGCGCGCAGGCGGCCAUUCAAGUCAGGGGUGAAAGCCCAGAGCUCAACUCUGGAACUGCCCUUGAAACUGUAUGGCUUGAGUAUGAGAGAGGUGAGUGGAAUUCCCAGUGUAGAGGUGAAAUUCGUAGAUAUUGGGAAGAACACCGGUGGCGAAGGCGGCUCACUGGCUCAUUACUGACGCUCAGGCGCGACAGCGUGGGGAUCAAACAGGAUUAGAUACCCUGGUAGUCCACGCCGUAAACUAUGAACGCUAGCCGUUGGGCAGCUUGCUGCUCAGUGGCGCAGCUAACGCAUUAAGCGUUCCGCCUGGGGAGUACGGCCGCAAGGUUG
rnacentral:rRNA from 1 species